rnacentral:lncRNA from 1 species
UGCAGUGUGGAGGUCAUCCGUUUGGGCCACAGUUACUUCAUCAACUGGGACAAGAAGAUGUUCUGUAUGAAGAAGCGGACUCCUGCAGAGGCCCGUACCACCACUCUGAACGAAGAGCUGGGCCAGGUGGAGUACAUCUUCUCUGAUAAGACGGGCACCCUGACCCAGAACAUCAUGGUGUUCAACAAGUGCUCCAUCAAUGGCCACAGCUACGGUGACGUAUUUGAUGUCUUGGGACACAAGGCUGAAUUGGGAGAGAGACCAGAACCUGUUGACUUCUCCUUUAAUCCUCUGGCUGACAAGAAAUUCUUGUUUUGGGACCCAAGCCUCUUGGAGGCUGUCAAGAUGGGGGACCCCCACACACAUGAGUUCUUCCGUCUCCUC